UACGGGGGGGGCGAGCGUUGUUCGGAAUUACUGGGCGUAAAGGGCGCGUAGGCGGUCUGCUAAGUUGGAUGUGAAAACUCUGGGCUUAACCCAGAGCCUGCAUUCAAUACUGACAGGCUAGAGUUCUGGAGGGGAUAGCGGAAUUCCUGGUGUAGCGGUGAAAUGCGUAGAUAUCAGGAGGAACACCGGUGGCGAAGGCGGCUAUCUGGACAGAAACUGACGCUGAGGCGCGAAAGCUAGGGGAGCAAACAGG
rnacentral:rRNA from 1 species